rnacentral:rRNA from 1 species
UGGGGGAUAUUGCACAAUGGGCGAAAGCCUGAUGCAGCCACGCCGCGUGAGGGAAGACGGUCUUCGGAUUGUAAACCUUUAGCUUUGGGGAAGAAACAAAUGACGGUACCCAAAGGGGCAGCCACGGCUAACUACGUGCCAGCAGCCGCGGUAAUACGUAGGUGGCAAGCGUUGUCCGGAAUUACUGGGUGUAAAGGGAGCGCAGGCGGGGAGACAAGUCAGCUGUGAAAACGAUGGGCUUAACCCAGAGAGUGCAGUUGAAACUG